AUUGCCUCCAACACUUGGUUUCCCACGUGACUCAUAUUGACUAGCAUGAUACUUGAUCAAUUUUCUCUCUCAAACCCUAAACACCACGACACCCGAUGAACACCCGUCCUCCUCUUCUUCAUCCUCCACCUCCAAUUGCUCUCUGCUUCAGCCUCCACCUCGACUCUCCUCCUUCUCCGCCUCCGCUAUCAUCCUCCUUUUCUUCCUUUGGCACACCUGUUCUCUCAUCUCUCUUCUCAAAUUCACCAGAUUCGCCAAAGAUGCAGUCCACGCCGGAGCUCCGCCUUGCCCCUCCUCCUUCUCUUUUCUCCUCCCACCUUGACGAUGCUUCUGGCUUCUGCUGAUAUACUCUGGUUAAUGUUCAAGGUUGAAUAGAGGGGAUGUUGAUUCAAACACUCAGCAGCGGUCAACUGAAGCAGCAGGGCAUUCUAAUUCAAUUGUUGCAGACCACAUAUUUCUCGGCAUCAAAGAUACUGGUAUGUGAAAUAGGGAUUUAAUAAUUUUGUUACAUGGAAGAAACAAGAUUCAUUCUAAUGAACCAAGAUCCGAUGCUAGAAAUUUGAUACCUCAAAAUGCUGGAUCAUUAGCUAGUAACAUCAUUUAAAUGUCUUUCUUGUUUACAGAAUUGCAUAUAUUUAUAGAUGCAGUAGCUUAUUAUGCAAGCAGUAGCUUAUUAUGCAAGCUGUAUAUUUAUAGAUGCUGGUGAUAAAAAAAAAAUUCCAAAAUUGCUUCAUGUUUUCAGUUCACAUAUCAGGUUUUUAAUUUGCGAGGCAUGCUUUGAUGUACUUUAUCAGAUGUGUGAAUACAAACACAUUAUUAGUUUGUCUGUUUUCAUGCAUAGGUAUGAUGCAUACACAGUUGAAUCAGUUCUUGCUCAGGUACUCACUAUAUGAAUAAUGGCUUGGGGGCAACCAGAGAAAGCACAAUACUAUAAAAGCACGACCAUUUAUUUGAUUGGGCACAUGAUCUGUCUAAGUUGUAUUACUAAUCUUGGCAAGCUACUGAUGUAGGACAAAGCAAUGGUGUUGUGAGAAUGGUUUGACAUGAACAACAUUGUUUCUUUCUCUCUAAAGCCACCAGCUCACCACCACAAACUACUCCAAUUCUCCUACACUACUAGUCGCUGCCACAUGCAUAAAUAGAUCACCAAAGCAGGGCCUCCUUCAGUUUGGUUUAUCCUUGUUAUUCUUUUUGAAAACAUUUGUUGAUCACUUUUUGUUGUAAUGACUUUGAAAUUUAUAAUUUUCAGGCUCUAAUCUAUGCUUUGAAGGCCAUAGAAACUAGAAAAGAAUUAUACGAUAAGUAUUUUGCUGCUAAAGAUAGUCAGAAGACUGAUAUGUGGACAAAAGUGUGGUCAUCGGAUACUGCAGACUUCGGGUCAUUUUGUUUAAGUCCAUGGAGCAUCCUUAGAUGUUAUCUUGAAAGCCUGCUUCAUGUCUUUUUCUUUUGGGUUCCUUUUCUUAACCCUUGUAAUUUCAAAAUUCAAGAGUUGCUAUUGUUUUUAUACACUUAUGCUCAACAUCAGAUAAUGCUCAUGUAAUUCUUCAGGGAAUAUAUAUAUAAGAAGAGUAAGAAGAAGAUGGAUAAAAAGGAAAGAGAGAAGCCAAAGAAGGCAUCGGAUUAUUUAAGUCUCUUAAAAGACUCAUUUACUUGUGGCAUCUGCAAUUGGCUUAUUAGAGGAAGGAUUUUAUUGGACAGAUUAGAUCUUGAUGAUCCAAUAGAGAAAAAGGACAAAGCAUCAUUAUCGGAGCAGCUGAAGUCUAUGCCUAAGAUUUCUGUUGAUUGUGUGGUUUCUAAUCACGAUUGCAUAUGCCACAGGGUGGGCUGUUGGCAAUGCAUGCCAUUGGACGUCCUAAAGUCCCGUUCUGUUCAAGAGUUGGUGGAUUUGAAGUAUCAAUUCUUUUGCAGGCGUCUUGCUUGCCUUUUCCUUUCCUUUGUAAAUAUAUUGAACCUUUUCUUCACGUUUUCAGGAAAUCAUGCUAAAGUUUCUGAAACGGCUGAUAUUUUUGGGAGAAGCCUUCAUUUCUUAUUCAACAGAGCUUAUACCUCUAACGGUGACUGGACUAUUUAUAAUUCAUUAUUGACACGGCAGGUCCAAGGGACUGCCUUGGCAGUUGAGCAAGCAGAGCUUCUAUACUACGCAACCUUUAUGAGAAUCAUACCAGUUAUGUUAUUGAUAGAGAAGGAAACUUGACUAUGCUAAUGCCUUGGUGCUUUCCUGUGAAGUGCCGCCGCUAUUUCAGAAGUGGGCGGCAAAGAGUCGGAACUCAUAUACCCAAGAGCAACUUGAUGAGGUGGGCAUUGAAGCGGCUGACUACUUGCAGAUUUUGCUAUAGCUAGAUCUUGACAAGCAAUAUGAUUUUGAGUAAGGCUAUUUUGCUGACCAUUUUGUAGUAGAUGUAGUGGUAUCUUCUACACUAGCCUUAAAGUAGGUUAGGGUUUAUUGUGCAAAACUUUUGAAACUACCUCAAGCUCUAAUUUUGUAUAGAAAUUAAUACAAUUCCCUAAUAUUUAAAGUACAUUUGAAUUUCAUGUUA